UGGGUGUUUUUGUCUGGUAAUCUUGUAAGCAUUUGGGCUAAAUAAAGCUCUGUGUUAAAAUAUUAGUGAUUUGCUUACUUUUUCUACUUUAACUGACGUGAGUUGUUUACAAACAUCCAGCAAAUCUUUCCCUUUUUGUCAGCCGGCUGUGGGUGGUGUAAUUCCUGCGGGCCUAAUUCUAAUAUAUGGGUUGAUUGCCUUUAGUUCAUUGGCUGAAUAAUCUGACCUGGGACUAUAUGUAGGCCAGGUGGCUGUUACCUGGGACACACCCUCUGUGGUUCCCACCCCCCUUCCUCGGCAUGCUGCUGGGCGAGGUCUGCAGUUUGGCGUUUGGUGUGGCUGGGUGAAUGCUCUCCUUUUGUCUUGGGAAUUUUCACAAGCGUGCGGUAGGCUCAGUUUGUUUUUCGCUGUUUUCUCUGAUUAAUCCUGGUGCUGAGUGUUUCUCCUGCUCCAUUUCAGUGCUGAGGCAUUUGUGAGGAGAUUGCUCCGGUGGUUUAUGCCACGUGCAAAGGUUUCCGUCUGUGUGUGAAGCUACGAGAAGUGUUGUGACUUUCCCGCUGUCUGCCGUGGAGAGGUGAAGCCUUGGUGGGUAUGGGUGAGCGCCUAUGUAUAUUUUAAAUUUAGUUAUUUUCUAGUUCUGAUGUUACGGGGUGGUCCUAAUGUUUUGCAGGAAGCUGGGGUGGUGGAGUACGGGGAGUGUCCAAUACAGCUCUACCCGUGUGUGUGUGAGAUCACCUGUGUCCCCCUCUUCGCGGAGGCUCCUCCCCCUGCAUUAGUGCUAUUUUUUUUUUUGUAUUUUCUUUUAGGCUUUAUGGUUCUUUUCUAUUUUUUUUCCUCUGCUUAUUAUUGUUAUAUUUUGUGUUAAUUGUUUUGUAUGUCCAGACUCAGUCCUGGUGUGUGUGCUGCCUCCGGUGAGCUGUAGCGGACUGGUUUGCUUUUUUUUUCUGAACGCGCGCUGCAUGUGACUCAGCGCGCUGUGUGUGUGUGUCUGUGUGUGUGUUACUAUACUUCCUGGGUCCUGAGUUGCGCGCUGCUGCGGGAGGGAAAGCCUGUAUGGUCAGUAAGCGUGAUUUAUUUAUUUUUAUGUUGCCGGGCUGUGUAUGGUUUAGUUGUGUUGGUAUAAUUGUUUAUUUGAGUUAAUUUGUUUGUUUUCUUUUGUGUCUGAACAGGAGCUGGGAGUGGUGACAGGCUGCUGAGGUGUUGAAGUCUAACUGGGUGUGCUUAGUGGUGUUUGUGUGCUGUGUAGUGGGGACUCCUCUCACCUGCAGUUAGCACUGGUCACAGUGUGCUCCAGCCCUGUUCAGGUUUUGUUUUUGAUUUUUGGUGUUUGUGUUUCUUUCGUUGUGUCUCUUUUUGUAUUUAUUUAUUGAUUUAUUGGUUUUGUUUUUUUUGUAAUAUUUGAUAUUUAUUAAAAGUUAUAUUUUUAAGUAUAA